rnacentral:rRNA from 1 species
CCUACGGGUGUCAGCAGUCGAGAAUCAUUCACAAUGGGGGAAACCCUGAUGGUGCGACGCCGCGUGGGGGAAUGAAGGUCUUCGGAUUGUAAACCACUGUCAUGUGGGAGAAAAUUAAAAAGAUAGUACCACAAGAGGAAGAGACGGCUAACGCUGUGCCAGCAGCCGCGGUAAUACAGAGGUCUCAAGCGUUGUUCGGAAUCACUGGGCGUAAAGGUGGCGUAGGCGGUUUCGUAAGUCGUGUGUGAAAGGCGCGGGCUCAACCCGCGGACGGCACAUGAUACUGCGAGACUAGAGUAAUGGAGGGGGAACCGGAAUUCUCGGUGUAGCAGUGAAAUGCGUAGAUAGCGAGAGGAACACUCGUGGCGAAGGCGGCUUACUGGACUGUAACUGACGUUGAGGCUCGAAAGCGUGGGGAGCAAACAGGAUUAGAUACCCCAGUAGUC